UACGGAGGAUGCAAGCGUUAUCCGGAAUGAUUGGGCGUAAAGCGUCCGCAGGUGGCAAUGUAAGUCUGCUGUCAAAGCGUCUGGCUCAACCAGAUAAAGGCAGUGGAAACUACAUAGCUAGAGUAAGGUAGGGGUAGAGGGAAUUCCCGGUGUAGCGGUGAAAUGCGUAGAGAUCGGGAAGAACAUCGGUGGCGAAAGCGCUCUACUGGACCGCAACUGACACUCAGGGACGAAAGCUAGGGGAGCGAACAGG
rnacentral:rRNA from 1 species